CAUGUAAUAACUGUCAGACCAGGUUGGUAAAUAACACACCAACAUGUAAUAACUGUCAGACCAGGUUGGUAAAUAACACACCAACAUGUAAUAACUGUCAGACCAGGUUGGUAAAUAACACACCAACAUGUAAUAACUGUCAGACCAGGUUGGUAAAUAACACACCAACAUGUAAUAACUGUCAGACCAGGUUGGUAAAUAACACACCAACAUGUAAUAACUGUCAGACCAGGUUGGUAAAUAACACACCAACAUGUAAUAACUGUCAGACCAGGUUGGUAAAUAACACACCAACAUGUAAUAACUGUCAGACCAGGUUGGUAAAUAACACACCAACAUGUAAUAACUGUCAGACCAGGUUGGUAAAUAACACACCAACAUGUAAUAACUGUCAGACCAGGUUGGUAA